GAAACUGGUAUGUGCACAUGAAUGUAGGUGCCCUAGGAGACCAAGUAUGUCAGAUCCCUUGGAGCUGGAGUUACAGGCCGUUGCUAGCCACCUGAUGUGUAUGCUGGGAAUCUAGCUCAGGUCCCCUGCAGAAGCAGUCUUCCCUCUGAACCACUGAGCCAUCCCUCCGGCCCUAGGAUGAAGUAUCUCUAUGUGGUCUUUGAAGUGUUUGAAGAUCAAAUAUCUAUGUCUGACUAACCUCAUAGGUAUAGGAAGUAUGGGACUCGGGAU
rnacentral:lncRNA from 1 species